UUGUCUUUGAGUUUUUAUUUGCACAUAUUUAUCUACAGCACACUUUACCAAAGUCUCACAAAAUUGCUUAACACGUGGGUAAUCUGCCGCGAAGUGUGGGAUAACUCGCUGAAAGGCGAGCUAAUACCGCAUGUGAUUUUCUUGAGGCAUCUCAGGGAAUUCAAACAUGGGUCGCAAGGCCUGUGGUUUCGCGAUGAGCCCGCGGCCUAUCAGCUAGUUGGCGGGGUAAAGGCCCACCAAGGCUAAGACGGGUAGCUGGUCUGAGAGGACGACCAGCCACACUGGAACUGAGACACGGUCCAGACACCUACGGGUGGCAGCAGUCGAGAAUUUUUCACAAUGGGGGAAACCCUGAUGGAGCGACGCCGCGUGGGGGAUGAAUGGCUUCGGCCCGUAAACCCCUGUCAUUUGCGAACAAACCUGGAUGUUUAAGAGAUGUCCGGCUGAUAGUAGCAGAAGAGGAAGGGACGGCUAACUCUGUGCCAGCAGCCGCGGUAAUACAGAGGUCCCGAGCGUUGUUCGGAUUCACUGGGCGUAAAGGGUGCGUAGGCGGUGGGGUAAGUUUGAGGUGAAAUCUCCGGGCUCAACCCGGAAGCUGCCUUGAAUACUAUCCCGCUAGAGGACCGGAGGGGAGACUGGAAUUCUCGGUGUAGCAGUGAAAUGCGUAGAUAUCGAGAGGAACACCAGUGGCGAAGGCGAGUCUCUGGACAAUUCCUGACACUGAGGCACGAAAGCCAAGGGAGCAAACGGGAUUAGAUACCCCGGUAGUCUUGGCUGUAAACGGUGCGCACUUGCUGUGAGCGGAUUCGACCCCGCUCGUGGCGUAGUUAACACGAUAAGUGCGCCGCCUGGGAAGUACGGUCGCAAGAUUAAAACUCAAAGAAAUUGACGGGGACCCGCACAAGCGGUGGAGUAUGUGGUUUAAUUCGAUGCAACGCGAAAAACCUUACCAACCUUUGACAUCUGGAUAGCCGCGCAUGUAAUGGUGCGCGGCUAUCCAGAUGUCAAAGGUUGGGGAGCUUGCUACCGAAUAUAAUCUUUAUGAAAAUAAGCUUAUAGUAAAAUCUACAAGACUAAAUGAAAAACUAUCAUAUAGU
rnacentral:rRNA from 1 species